GAGCCAUUAGCUCAGUUGGUAGAGCAACUGACUUUUAAUCAGAGGGUCAGAGGUUCGAAUCCUCUAUGGCUCACCA
rnacentral:tRNA from 2 species